GGGGAUGUAGCUCAAUGGUAGAGCAUUUGUCUAGCAUGCACAAACCACUGGGUUUAAUCCCCAGUAAUUACA
rnacentral:tRNA from 1 species